UGCUGUGAAAACUGGAGGCUCAACCUCCAGCCUGCAGUGGGUACGGGCAGACUAGAGUGCGGUAGGGGAGAUUGGAAUUCCUGGUGUAGCGGUGGAAUGCGCAGAUAUCAGGAGGAACACCGAUGGCGAAGGCAGAUCUCUGGGCCGUAACUGACGCUGAGGAGCGAAAGAGUGGGGAGCAAACAGGCUUAGAUACCCUGGUAGUCCACUCCGUAAACGUUGGGAACUAGUUGUGGGGGCCUUUCCACGGUCUCCGUGACGCAGCUAACGCAUUAAGUUCCCCGCCUGGGGAGUACGGCCGCAAGGCUAAAACUCAAAGGAAUUGACGGGGACCCGCACAAGCGGCGGAGCAUGCGGAUUAAUUCGAUGCAACGCGAAGAACCUUACCAAGGCUUGACAUAUACAGGUAACGGCCAGAGAUGGUCGCCCCCUUGUGGUCUGUAUACAGGUGGUGCAUGGUUGUCGUCAGCUCGUGUCGUGAGAUGUUGGGUUAAGUCCCGCAACGAGCGCAACCCUCGUUCUAUGUUGCCAGCACGUUAUGGUGGGAACUCAUGGAAUACUGCCGGGGUCAACUCGGAGGAAGGUGGGGAUGACGUCAAAUCAUCAUGCCCCUUAUGUCUUGGGCUUCACGCAUGCUACAAUGGCCGGUACAAAGGGCUGCGAUACCGUAAGGUGGAGCGAAUCCCAAAAAGCCGGUCCCAGUUCGGAUUGAGGUCUGCAACUCGACCUCAUGAAGUCGGAGUCGCUAGUAAUCGCAGAUCAGCAACGCUGCGGUGAAUACGUUCCCGGGUCUUGUACACACCGCCCGUCAAGUCAUGAAAGUCGGUAACACCUGAAGCCGGUGGCCUAACCCUUGUGGAGGGAGCUGUCGAAGGUGGGAUCGGUAAUUAGGACUAAGUCGUAACAAGGUAGCCGUACCGGAAGGUGCGGCUG
rnacentral:rRNA from 1 species